rnacentral:rRNA from 1 species
UACGAAGGGGGCUAGCGUUGCUCGGAAUCACUGGGCGUAAAGGCGCACGUAGGCGGCUUUCUAAGUCAGGGGUGAAAUCCUGGAGCUCAACUCCAGAACUGCCUUUGAUACUGGAGCUUGAGUCCGGGAGAGGUGAGUGGAACUCCGAGUGUAGAGGUGGAAAUUCGAUAGAUAUUCGGAAGAAACACCAGUGGCGAGGACG